UAAUGUCUGGGAAACUGCCUGAUGGAGGGGGAUAACUACUGGAAACGGUAGCUAAUACCGCAUAAUGCCGCAAGACCAAAGUGGGGGACCUUCGGGCCUCAUGCCAUCAGAUGUGCCCAGAUGGGAUUAGCUAGUAGGUGGGGUAACGGCUCACCUAGGCGACGAUCCCUAGCUGGUCUGAGAGGAUGACCAGCCACACUGGAACUGAGACACGGUCCAG
rnacentral:rRNA from 1 species